rnacentral:rRNA from 1 species
UACGUAGGUGGCAAGCGUUGUCCGGAAUUAUUGGGCGUAAAGCGUGCGCAGGCGGUCCUUUAAGUCUGAUGUGAAAGCCCACGGCUCAACCGUGGAGGGUCAUUGGAAACUGGGGGACUUGAGUGCAGAAGAGGAAAGCGGAAUUCCACGUGUAGCGGUGAAAUGCGUAGAGAUGUGGAGGAACACCAGUGGCGAAGGCGGCUUUCUGGUCUGUAACUGACGCUGAGGCGCGAAAGCGUGGGGAGCAAACAGG